rnacentral:rRNA from 1 species
UACGGAGGGGGGCUAGCGUUUGUUCGGAAUUACUGGGCGUAAAGCGCACGUAGGCGGCUUUGCAAGUUAGAGGUGAAAGCCCGGGGCUCAACUCCGGAAUUGCCUUUAAAACUGCAUCGCUAGAAUUGUGGAGAGGUAAGUGGAAUUCCGAGUGUAGAGGUGAAAUUCGUAGAUAUUCGGAAGAACACCAGUGGCGAAGGCGACUUACUGGACACAUAUUGACGCUGAGGUGCGAAAGCGUGGGGAGCAAACAGG